AGAGUUUGAUCAUGGCUCAGGACGAACGCUGGCGGCGUGCUUAACACAUGCAAGUCGAACGAAGCCUUCGGGCUUAGUGGCGGACGGGUGAGUAACGCGUAGGUAAUCUGCCUCUCAAUGGGGGAUACCCAGCCGAAAGGUUGGCUAAUACCGCAUACGCUGGCGAGUUGUGAUACUCGUCAGGAAAGAUUUAUCGUUGAGAGAUGAGCCUGCGUCCGAUUAGCUAGUUGGUAGUGUAAUGGACUACCAAGGCGACGAUCGGUAGCUGGUCUGAGAGGACGAUCAGCCACACUGGAACUGAGACACGGUCCAGACUCCUACGGGAGGCAGCAGUGGGGAAUUUUCCGCAAUGGGCGAAAGCCUGACGGAGCAACGCCGCGUGGAUGAAGAAGUCCUUCGGGAUGUAAAGUCCUUUCAGCAGGGACGAGUCGAAGACGGUACCUGCAGAAGAAGCAUCGGCUAACUACGUGCCAGCAGCCGCGGUAAUACGUAGGAUGCAAGCGUUGUCCGGAAUUAUUGGGCGUAAAGCGUACGUAGGCGGUUUGUUAAGUCAGGGGUUAAAGACUGAGGCUCAACCUCAGGAGUGCCCUUGAUACUGGCAGGCUGGAGGACGGCAGAGGAAAGUGGAAUUCCCAGUGUAGCGGUGAAAUGCGUAGAUAUUGGGAGGAACACCAGUGGCGAAAGCGACUUUCUGGGCCGUUCCUGACGCUGAGGUACGAAAGCGUGGGGAGCAAACAGGAUUAGAUACCCUGGUAGUCCACGCCGUAAACGAUGGAUACUAGGUGUAGAGGGUAUCGACCCCCUCUAUGCCGUAGCUAACGCGUUAAGUAUCCCGCCUGGGGAGUACGGUCGCAAGGCUGAAACUCAAAUGAAUUGACGG
rnacentral:rRNA from 1 species